rnacentral:rRNA from 1 species
GACGAACGCUGGCGGCGUGCUUAACACAUGCAAGUCGAGCGGUAAGGCCCCUUCGGGGGUACUCGAGUGGCGAACGGGUGAGUAACACGUGGGUGAUCUGCCCUGCACUUUGGGAUAAGCCCGGGAAACUGGGUCUAAUACCGAAUAUGACCACUUCUUGGAUGUUGUGGUGGAAAGCUUUUGCGGUGUGGGAUGAGCCUGCGGCCUAUCAGCUUGUUGGUGGGGUAAUGGCCUACCAAGGCGGCGACGGGUAUCCGGCCUGAGAGGGUGUACGGACACAUUGGGACUGAGAUACGGCCCAGACUCCUACGGGAGGCAGCAGUGGGGAAUAUUGCACAAUGGGCGCAAGCCUGAUGCAGCGACGCCGCGUGGGGGAUGAAGGCCUUCGGGUUGUAAACUCCUUUCGCUAUCGACGAAGCCACUUGUGGUGACGGUAGGUAGAUAAGAAGCACCGGCUAACUACGUGCCAGCCGCCGCCGUAA